CCUACGGGAGGCAGCAGUUAGGAAUUUUGGGCAAUGGGCGAAAGCCUGACCCAGCAACGCCGCGUGGGUGACGAAGGCCUUCGGGUUGUAAAGCCCUUUUCUGAGGGAAGAUGAUGACGGUACCUCAGGAAUAAGCACCGGCUAACUACGUGCCAGCAGCCGCGGUAAUACGUAGGGUGCAAGCGUUGCCCGGAUUUAUUGGGCGUAAAGGGCGCGCAGGCGGCUACGCACGUCCGUUGUGAAAUCGCUCGGCUCAACUGGGCGGGGUCAGCGGAUACGGCGUAGCUGGAGCAAGCUAGGGGGCAAUGGAAUUCCCGGUGUAGUGGUGGAAUGCGUAGAUAUCGGGAGGAACACCAGUGGCGAAGGCGGUUGCCUGGAGCUUUGCUGACGCUGAGGCGCGAAAGCGUGGGGAGCGAUCCGGAUUAGAUACCCGGGUAGUCCACGCCGUAAACGAUGUCGACUAGGUGUCGGGGUAUCCGACCCCCGUCGGCGCCGCACGCUACGCAUAAGUCGACCGCCGUCGGGUACGUACGGCCGCGAGACGUAAACUACAAGAAUAGACGGCGNGAGACGNGCCGACGGCGACGACGAGGGAGUAGG
rnacentral:rRNA from 1 species